UACGUAGGGACCGAGCGUUGUCCGGAAUCAUUGGGCGUAAAGAGCGUGUAGGCGGCCUUUUAAGUCCUGCGUGAAAUCCUGCGGCUCAACCGCAGGCGGUCGUGGGAAACUGGAAGGCUAGAGUGCGGGAGAGGAGAGUGGAAUUCCCGGUGUAGCGGUGAAAUGCGCAGAUAUCAGGAAGAACACCCGUGGCGAAGGCGGUUCUCUGGGACGGUACUGACGCUGAGACGCGAAAGCGUGGGGAGCGAACAGG
rnacentral:rRNA from 1 species